AUGAUUAUCAAUAAUAAUGAAUUCAACCCGAUGGUCGUUUGGAAGAAGAAGAAAAAUGAACAGAGGAGAUCGCAGAUCCAUGGUAACAGGAACAUAGGAGAUGGCGGUGAGAAUGAAGCGAUGGGGAAGGAGGUGGCGGGGAAGCUGGAGGAACGACUGAAAAAGGCUCGUAGAGCUCUGGAGUCAUGUAUGCGGGCGCCGGUGUUUGAAGAGAAAAUAAGGGAAGAAGCUAGACUGCGCUGUGUGGUGGAGGAUCUGGAAGCUAAAAAGAAUACUAAAGCAAAGCAACAUUCGCAUGUUUCCUGGUUGCGUGAUGGCAACUAG
rnacentral:rRNA from 1 species